UACGUAGGGUGCGAGCGUUGUCCGGAAUUAUUGGGCGUAAAGAGCUCGUAGGCGGUCUGUCACGUCGAUCGUGAAAACUUGGGGCUUAACCCUGAGCGUGCGGUCGAUACGGGCAUGACUUGAGUUCGGCAGGGGAGACUGGAAUUCCUGGUUUAGCGGUGAAAUGCGCAGAUAUCAGGAGGAACACCGGUGGCGAAGGCGGGUCUCUGGGCCGAUACUGACGCUGAGGAGCGAAAGCGUGGGGAGCGAACAGG
rnacentral:rRNA from 1 species